GCUUCUCUAAGAGGAAAUGCAAAACUUUGAUUUAAACAAAACUAAUAAGAAAUUGAACUUUACGUCCCCCCAAAAAACCUAGAUGUUGUUACUCACUUCACGUAAGUUAUAGUUAGGAGUAUUUUAAAAACUAAUUCUGCUUAGUGAUUCAUUUUGUAAAAAAUGAAAGACAACAUCCUUUAGAAGUAGUUGUAAUCAUCCAAAUGUAAUACUGUUAUGUUUACUAUCCUAUUUCCCUGUUCUUUUCCCCACAAACCUUGAAAGCAUUCAUUUAAUGUCCCUAAAAAAUGUAGCUGAAUUGAUUAAAAAUUCUGGCAAGAAGAUAACUGAGUGUGCGUAUUAGGAAAGUAGACAAUCACAUUUGAGAAUGUUCCGCAUAGUUUUCAAUCAACUAAAAUCGUUCUGUCUUUGAAUGUAGAUAUAAUAUAUGGUUUUGCAGUGAAUUCUGAAUGGAAAAAAAUCAUGCCUAAAACUAAUGUGAAAUGUGACUUAGGAUCACGUGAAUGAUAUAUUGAAAUACAGAUGUAUAUAUUAUUAGGGGGAAAGACAAAAUUUAAACGCAAACUGGGAAGAAACAACAUUGUCUCUAAUUAUCCAAAUAUAUUUUCCAGAUCUUGUUGCUGCAGUAUCAGUUCUGAGUUACUCAGAUUGUUUAUGUGUUACUUAAUUUAAUGUGGCUAAAUGCAGUCAUUUAUUUAAGUUAUUGGGUAGUAGAAGAUUCACAACUGUUGUCCUCUAGAGUAUUAAAAAGAAAUGUCUGCUUUAGCAUAGGUAGAAUAAAGUGACUAAAUGAUAUCAUAGGAAGAAUUUUCUCUACAACUGGAGAUACUCAGGCAAGUGAGUUGUAAGUUUAACCUGAGGGAAUAAAAUAGACUUUUGCAGGAACUGAGUGUAGAUGAUCUUGCUUGUAUGGGCUUUGUGUCCCUAGAAUUAGUCUUUUAAAAUGCGACUGGCAAGUUUAAUGAAUAGGCAAAAUUUGUGAUAUUUUGAGGCUCUUAAAAUUUUGUGUCAACCUCGUGAUGUUUAAUAUCAUAUCCUCCUUAAAAUAAAAGACUUUUAUUUUGAUAGUGGUAUGUUCCAAGUGCCAUGUGAAGAUUCUGUUCUUAAAUUUGUUGGGCAUUUUUACAUUCAGUGCAUCUCUUUAAAUCUGAGUGUUAUUUUGCUGCAUGUCCGCUGUGUUACCUUGUCAGUUCCCCUAACAGCAUUUAAAGAAAAAUUGUCACUGACGUUUCUUGUGCUAAAGGUAAUAAAGAAAAUAUUGUUGAGGGAUAUGAAACUAGAUUGAGAAGAGGGAGGAAAAUGAUAAGUGGGAGCCAUGUAUCCGAGAUACACUUGUUGAAAAGUCUACACUGGUUUUUGAAUGGAAAACAAACCAUGUGUCUAUCUACCUUAAGAACAAUGUUUUGUUUUGUUUUUAAUUUAUUUUACUUAGUUUUAUUCAUGUAAUAUUUCUAUUUUCUUUGCAGAUUGUUUUUUAAUUUCAAUUGUGAAGUUUUUACUUCUCUCAAAAUGUAUUAUGUACUGUAUUUUUAGAUAUC
rnacentral:lncRNA from 1 species